AUGAACGCUGGCGGCGUGCCUAAUACAUGCAAGUCGAGCGAACAGAUGAGGAGCUUGCUCCUCUGACGUUAGCGGCGGACGGGUGAGUAACACGUGGAUAACCUACCUAUAAGACUGGGAUAACUUCGGGAAACCGGAGCUAAUACCGGAUAAUAUAUUUAACCGCAUGGUUCAAUAGUGAAAGACGGUUUUGCUGUCACCUAUAGAUGGAUCCGCGCCGCAUUAGCUAGUUGGUAAGGUAACGGCUUACCAAGGCAACGAUGCGUAGCCGACCUGAGAGGGUGAUCGGCCACACUGGAACUGAGACACGGUCCAGACUCCUACGGGAGGCAGCAGUAGGGAAUCUUCCGCAAUGGGCGAAAGCCUGACGGAGCAACGCCGCGUGAGUGAUGAAGGUCUUCGGAUCGUAAAACUCUGUUAUUAGGGAAGAACAAAUGUGUAAGUAACUAUGCACGUCUUGACGGUACCUAAUCAGAAAGCCACGGCUAACUACGUG
rnacentral:rRNA from 1 species